rnacentral:misc_RNA from 1 species
GAUGAAGAACGCAGCAAAAUGAGAUAAGUAAUGUGAAUUGCAGAAUUCAGUGAAUCAUCGAAUCUUUGAACGCACAUUGCGCCCGCUGGUAUUCCGGCGGGCAUGCCUGUUCGAGCGUCAUUUCAACCCUCAAGCCCCCGGGUUUGGUGUUGGGGAUCGGCUCUGCCCUUCUGGGCGGUGCCGCCCCCGAAAUACAUUGGCGGUCUCGCUGCAGCCUCCAUUGCGUAGUAGCUAACACCUCGCAACUGGAACGCGGCGCGGCCAUGCCGUAAAACCCCAACUUCUGAAUGUUGACCUCGGAUCAGGCAGGAAUACCCGCUCAACUUAAGCAUAUCAAUAAGCGGAGGA